rnacentral:rRNA from 1 species
AUUGAACGCUGGCGGUAGGCCUAACACAUGCAAGUCGAACGGCAGCACAGUAAUAGCUUGCUCUUACGGGUGGCGAGUGGCGGACGGGUGAUGAAUACAUCGGAAUCUACUUUUUCGUGGGGGAGAACGUAGGGAAACUUACGCUAAUACCGCAGACGAACUACGGGUGAAAUCAUGGGAUCUCCGGACCUUGCGCGAUUGAAGGAGCCGAUGUCGGAUUAGCUAGUUGGUGGGGUAAAGGCCCACCAAGGCGACGAUCCGUAGCUGGUCUGAGAGGAUGAUCAGCCACACUGGAACUGAGACACGGUCCAGACUCCUACGGGAGGCAGCAGUGGGGAAUAUUGGACAAUGGGCGAAAGCCUGAUCCAGCCAUACCGCGUGGGUGAAGAAGGCCUUCGGGUUGUAAAGCCCUUUUGUUGGGAAAGAAAAGCAGCAGGUUAAUACCUCGCUGUUCUGACGGUACCAACAGAAUAAGCACCGGCUAACUUCGUG